rnacentral:rRNA from 1 species
UACGGGGGGGGCAAGCGUUGUUCGGAAUUACUGGGCGUAAAGGGCUCGUAGGUUGCCAACUAAGUCAGACGUGAAAUCCCUCAGCUUAACUGGGGAACUGCGUCUGAUACUGGAUGGCUUGAGUUUGGGAGAGGGAUGCGGAAUUCCAGGUGUAGCGGUGAAAUGCGUAGAUAUCUGGAGGAACACCGGUGGCGAAGGCGGCAUCCUGGACCAAUACUGACACUGAGGAGCGAAAGCCAGGGGAGCAAACGGG